rnacentral:lncRNA from 1 species
CUUCCAGGGAAUCCGCUCACAGUUCCUUGGCACAACAAUCUGUGGCACCCAGACUUACUGGGAACUGCUGGAGCACAAUGUGCGUGUGCUUCCCUAGUCAAGGGAGAGAACUUUCUGCCUUCAAAUGUUAGCAGAAACCUGGAUUCCUCUAGUGGGGAGAAUAGGAGGCUAAAGCAAUAAACAAACGGAUAGACGGAGGAACGCUGUGCAUUGUGGGUGUCUGAUGCAUCAUCCUCUGAGGUGGGUGAGAGAUGCUUUCUCCUUUCUACGACCCAGGAUCAGAGGCAAGGAAAGCACCAAGAGCACACACUAAGAUGUUUUCAAAGGUUCCUCUCCACUCUCCUGAAGAAACCCAGUGGAGCAAUGUGGAGGACAAUGAUAGCUGGAAAGCCCACAGAAUCAGCAUCUGGAAAUGGAAGUUGACAGCUGCACUUGUAAAAACGAAAGGAAGAUAUCCUCGGGCUUAAGAUACAGGGCAUCCUAAUAUCAGGGUUCUGUUCAUCUCCAUCCAACCUCAAACUGUUUGCCCAGUUAGCCAAUAUGUGUACAAGAGGAGACUCUCUGGAAGCCAGGGCAACAUCCACACAUCUAGUGUAAAAGUCACUGUACAUGUAAAUGGCUACAAACCACCAAAUCUAGCACCUAAAAGUCAAUGUACAGGGCAUCAAGGGAGCCAAAUCCUGGACUCUCUCCUUGAUGAACAGCUAGCCAUGUAGCAGACUGCCCACAGCCAGCCUAGGGACAGUGGCAUCUAUGAGCUUUGGCUCUCAGUGGACACACAAGAACGGCUGCAGAUGGAUUUGGUGGCUUCGGAGAUUAUUGUCUGUACAACCAGCCAGUGUGAUUUUUCUCCUUCCAUUUUCCUUUCUGUUAAGAUCACCUGAUUUUUCUUUGUAGAGUCUGUCCCCUCCCCAGUUUAC